CAAGGCUUCAAAGCUCAAAAGUUACAAUGAUAUGCUUUGAUUAUUAGGUCUCGCUGGGACCUUGGUUCUCUUGUAUAUUCAUUGUCUUGAUCAAUAAUUUGUCUUUUCAAUUAGAGGUCAAACUUUAAUGGAUGCUAUGGAAACUGGUUGCUGUAUGGAGUACAUAUGGAUUGUUAAUAAAAUGAAUGAUUAAUAUGUUAUGUUUGUGAUAAACGUAUUGUCGGAAUAUUUUGAUGACAUUUGACAUAUUACUGAGAUAAAGG
rnacentral:misc_RNA from 1 species